GAUGAACGCUGGCGGCGUGCCUAAUACAUGCAAGUCGAGCGAACAGACGAGGAGCUUGCUCCUCUGAUGUUAGCGGCGGACGGGUGAGUAACACGUGGAUAACCUACCUAUAAGACUGGGAUAACUUCGGGAAACCGGAGCUAAUACCGGAUAACAUGUUGAACCGCAUGGUUCAACAGUGAAAGACGGUCUUGCUGUCACUUAUAGAUGGAUCCGCGCCGCAUUAGCUAGUUGGUAAGGUAACGGCUUACCAAGGCAACGAUGCGUAGCCGACCUGAGAGGGUGAUCGGCCACACUGGAACUGAGACACGGUCCAGACUCCUACGGGAGGCAGCAGUAGGGAAUCUUCCGCAAUGGGCGAAAGCCUGACGGAGCAACGCCGCGUGAGUGAAGAAGGUCUUCGGAUCGUAAAACUCUGUUAUUAGGGAAGAAAAAAUGUGUAAGUAACUAUGCACGUCUUGACGGUACCUAAUCAGAAAGCAACGGCUAACUACGUG
rnacentral:rRNA from 1 species